ACGAGGGCGGGCGAGAGGCGCGCGCUGGGAUUGGCGCCGAAGACCGGACCCUCAGACGCUAGGGAUGAGAAAACUGAAACACUGAGAGGUUGAGUAGCUUGCUGAAGAAUAUGUAGCUGGUGAGUAGAGAAACAGACAUUUGAACCAGGCUCUCUGCCUACACAACCUGCACAUGAACCUGCCCUGGGCUGCUGGAAACAACCUAAAUAGCUAACAACUGGAGACUUGUCAAGAUGUUGCAAGUCUCUGCUCUUAGAAGACCGGCUGCAGAACCCAGGGCUGAACCCCUGUAGAAAUGGAUCAAAAGAUUCAACCAGCAAAUGGUGAAUCAAUGACAAAUCAAUAAUAAGGGGUCUGGAAAAGACCAAAGGGGAGCUUGCAUGUGAGAUCUCUUUGGGAACUUCGAAGCACUCUGUUAAUGAAAAGGGUAAAUUUUUUCUCUCUUCCCUUAUACCAUAAACUCCAUGAGAGCAUUUGACAGGAUCAGUUGUGUCAUCUUUAAAAAGACAUGUUCGAUGACGUAUAUACAAAAAAUCAUAUUAUAAACCUUAAGUCUUUACAAUUUUUAUUGCCAAUUGUACGUCAACAAAAAAGGGGGAAGUUAUAAAACAACGAAUCAUUGAUUGAGUGAACGAAUCCAUGAAUGUUGUGGACUGAAUGUCUGUGUCCCCCCCAAAUCCAUAUGCUGAAAUCCCAUCUCCUAAUGUGGUAGUAUUAGGAGGUGGGGGGUCUUUAGUAGGUAAUUAGGUUUAUAUGAGGCCAUGAGGGCAAAGCCCCAUGAUGGAAUUAGCUCUUACAAGAAAAGGAGGAGACACCAGCAUGUUCUCUCUCCACCAUGUGAUGAUACAGUGGGAAGGCAGCCAUCUACCAGCCAAGAAGAGGGCUCUCACCAAGAACUGAAUCUACUGGUACCUUGAUCUUGGACUUUCCAGCCUCCAGAACUGUGACAAUAAACGUCUGUUGUCUAAGCCACCCAGGUGUGGUGUUUGGUUAUAGUAGCCUAAGUGGACAAAGACAGUGAAUAAAUAAAUGAAUGAAACAAAACAAAGUCACAGAGUAGGAGAACAUGCAAUAUGAACAAGGAAUAAAGGGUUGUCUGAAUAUAUUUGGUGUAGCUGGGUGUUGGAGUGUAACCCAUAGCUAGGUGGGUGGGUGGGAAGCAGUGGUCCUUAGAGUAAGUUCUGUGGACCAGUAUCAUCUGGGAACUCAUUAGAAAUGCAAGUUCCUGGGCUCCCACCUAGGCUUACUGAAUCUGAAACUCAGGGGUGGGGCGGACAAUCUGUUUCAACAAUCCCUCUAGGUCAUUCUGGUGCAAAGCAAAGUUUUGAGAACCAUUACUUUGUACUAAUGCAGGAAGUUUGGAAAUAAUUCUGCUGUAAAUUCAGUGUUAAUGAAGGUUUUUAGCUGUGGAUGGAUAUAAUCAGAGCUGUAUUUCUAGGAUGAUGAGGCAUGAAGCUUUGCCUAAAAGAAUUUAUGGCUUCGAUAAAGCACCACUGGAAAUACUGGACAACACAUUGUAUUCACCAAGCUGCCCCAGAGUGAAAGAUUUUGAUUUUUCCUGAUUCCAGAUAAUAGCCACAUCAUCAGCUAAGAGGCAAAGCAGAGCCGGCAUUAUUCCCAAGCACUGGAGAAACCUGCUUGGUCUAUAGAGACCAGACAGGAUGAGAAAGUUUCUGUGAAAAUAAAUCAGUUACCUACUAAAUAUGGUCCUCACUGAUCUCAGGGGGGCCUCUUAGUCCUGACCAGCUGCGGGGAAACAUGAAAUGGAACCUUCCAUACCAAGACAAAUGGGCAGCUCCUCCUACAAUUGGCCUCACUAGCUGAAAAAUGCAGCUUUGUCUUUAGGGCUGGUCUGCCCAAGGGGAAGGUAUUGUAUGGAAGAGAAAUGAAGAGCCUGGGGGGAAAGCAGUAUCUUAAGAGAGAGUCUAGAAGCCCAAGAUACAAGUGUCAGGUGGGGAGGGAGUGGGGAGGAGAGGGAUGAGGGCUGUUCAGAAUGGUUUGGGCUGUUGGGAUGACCAAGCAUCUGGGUUUGCCCAGCACUCAGGAUGUUGGGGAUAAUCCCUGUCAAACCAGGACAAAUGGCCACCCUACAAAUCUGCACCCUCAGCUGUGUUGAAGACUUGGGGAGAAGACCUUGUGAAAGCAGGAGAAUCACUGAUCUAAGCGUUGUUUCUCAAAAUAUUGCCUACACACUGGCAAUGUCAGUGUCACCUGGGAGUUUGUGAGAAAUGCAGCUCCUCAGGCCCACCCUAUACUUGCAGGCCCAGACCUGCAUGACUGCAAGAGCCCCAGGUGACGUGCGUGCACAUGGGCUGAGAAAGACUGCCUUGGCAGAUCCUCUGAGUCCUAGGAGGCUUCCCCCAGUAAAAAAAAAAAAAAAUGAAGCACUGGUGGGGAGCAGAAUUUCUGGGCUGCGAAAUAGCCGAUGUCCAGGUUGUCCAGAUUCUAAGCUCGACCUGCAUCAACCCUGCCUGGGAGGAGCAGAAACAUGGAGAAGCUUACAUACUAGGGGCACCAAGAACUGAGAGCAAAGAAGGAAAAGGACAGAUGACACAAAAGAGCCAAGGGGGCCUCCUGAACUAUUAACAGUAGUAGUCGUAGGAAUGUAGGAAAGCCAGAAACCCAGCAAUUAUGUGGUGAGAGUAAAGCUGGAGAAGUAGUCUUCUGUUCCUAUACUGUGACCCUGUUUUGGUAAAACAGCAACAACAACAACAAGCUGGUGUGGGCUGGGAAAUGAAUUACGCUGCAAAGUGGAGUCACGGCCCUGUGGGUAAGCUUUCAGAGGCAGAUAAAAAAGGAUCACCCACUAAAAGUAUUCAGCUUUCGCAUCUUGGCCUCACUCACUUGUGUAUUACUCAGAAACACAAAGCAAAUUCAGUUUUUUUCUUUUUCUCUACCUGGUCUGAUCAUCAUGGGUUCCAACUCUGCAUUCUAGCAAGAAUAAUUUGCACUUAAUUAAUAGUGUUUCUUUUUCUGCAGCUCAAACACAAUUCUUUGACUCGAAGCAUUCUAACCAGUGGUUCUUAAACUCCAAACAUGCAGCAGAAUCACCUAGAGGGCAUGUUAAAACACAGAUUGCUGGGCCCACCCCCAGGGUUUCUGAUUCUGUACAUCUGGUAGCAACUUAAAUUUGCAUUUCUAAGGAGUUCCCGGUUGAUGCUUAUUAUUGGUCUAAGGAACACACUUUGGAACCUCUGGUUCAAACUGUUCAGCAUGUUAUUCCCAUCCAAAGGUGAAGGGUUUCAAAAGUCUUAGAUUAAUACUUCUAAAAUUGGUUGACCUUUCUGUUCUACCUUGGAUCAAAUACAUGGUCGUCCUGCAUAUGACGACUCUGCAGCUCAUGGCAUAAGCCCCUAGCAGUGCCCGCUCAACACAUCUGCACUGGCCUGUAUCUUGUUCAACAAGACAAGUCCUCUGGUCACAUGCUAGGAUGUCCUGGCAAUGGCGGUUUGUGAUAAAAAUGUCUGAAUACCAGUUCUUACUUUUGUUUAUCUCACUUCAGGCCAGUAAUAAUUUGUGGACUGGCACUGGCCCAUAGAUCACAUUUUGAGUAAUGCUGUUUAGAUGACUCAGUCUUUCUCAGAUUCUUACCCUCUUCCUUCUCUUUCCUAAGAUAGCAUUUGGGUAUACAAGAUGGCAGGGGUCUUCUUUUAUCCUUGUGUCACCCUUGUAGCAUGAGACUACGUGAUCCUUGGAUUCGUGAUCCUUGUAGCAUGAGACUCCGUGAUCCUUGGAUUCGUUUUUUUCUCUGGAAUGGGGACCACCGAAAUGAAACGAGGUCCCAUCUAAUCUUUAGGAAUGAUGUGUGCGGCUAUAGCCCUGAACACUUCCCAUAGUGCCCAAGUUCCAACCCUGUGGCCUCUUUCCCUGCUCCUAGAUGGCUGCUAGUCUACCAGUAGUCUCACUGGGGAAGUAAGAAGUUCCAGAGACUCCUGUUUUCCACCUAAAGGUCAUUGGGAGGCAGGAAUGCCUUCUUUUUGCUUUUUUAAAGAUUUCUUUAUUUAUUUGAGAAGGAGGGGGAGGGGC